ACGCACGCUGGCGGCGUGCUUAACACAUGCAAGUCGAACGGUGAAGCUCCAGCUUGCUGGAGUGGAUCAGUGGCGAACGGGUGAGUAACACGUGAGCAACCUGCCCCUGACUCUGGAAUAAGCGCUGGAAACGGCGUCUAAUACUGGAUACGAGAAGGGCCCGCAUGGGCACUUUCUGGAAAGUUUUUCGGUUGGGGAUGGGCUCGCGGCCUAUCAGCUUGUUGGUGAGGUAAUGGCUCACCAAGGCGACGACGGGUAGCCGGCCUGAGAGGGCGACCGGCCACACUGGGACUGAGACACGGCCCAGACUCCUACGGGAGGCAGCAGUGGGGAAUAUUGCACAAUGGGCGAAAGCCUGAUGCAGCGACGCCGCGUGAGGGAUGACGGCCUUCGGGUUGUAAACCUCUUUCAGCAGGGAAGAAGCGAAAGUGACGGUACCUGCAGAAGAAGCACCGGCUAACUACGUG
rnacentral:rRNA from 1 species